rnacentral:miRNA from 1 species
GCCCCCCCACCCCUGUGCCACGGCCGGCUGGGGUUCCUGGGGAUGGGAUUUGCUGCCUGUCUCAAAUCACAUUGCCAGGGAUUUCCAACCGACCCUGAGCCCUGCCUCUGGGGCU